GUGUGUUUCGCAGGUGAAGUACCUGCAGUGGUUGGUGCCUGUCUGUGCCCUUGUGCCUUGCGCGCUGUUCCUCAUCGGCUCAGGGAUGUUUUAUUUCAUAAAGAAGAAGACGAGAGAGAGGCAUGGAAUGAGCGAGGAGACAGACCACAUCAACGCCUGAAGCUGAUGAUACGAUAGCUUCCAGCAUUGCUUUCACUGAUUCAAAAGCCUUGUUCAAGUGAAGGACUUCCCCUCCCAUUGGACCACUCCAGCAAACAGAUAAACGCGGAGGUGCCUUGUGCCACCCAGAAGGAAGAAUUCUUUUGUUUGUUUUUCUUCUUCAGUGUUUCCAGUUGAUUUACGCUUUAAAGUUGGCAUACCCAAUUGUCUUCUCAUCGCAUUAUUUUCUUAAAGGGAUUGUGAUUACAAUUUCAUGAAAAUAUAAUUAUCAGUACUAACCACUCCAUUUCAUUACUGGUGUUAAGAUCAUGUACCGUUUUUAUUGUGUGUGUUUGCAUUCUGGAGCUCAAAUUUAAAGAUUCAAAAAUAUGAAAAUGCCCAGCGCCUGGAGAGCUCAUUCAAGUCUCUCAUGCCAGGCUUCGAGUGACGUCACGUCACCAGAAGCUCAAGAAGCUGCUACCACAAACGCAAUGCGCUGUUUCCCGGGGUGCUUUGUAAAAGUUCGUCAUCCAAAUAGAUGGAGCAGUAGUUGAAAAGCUCCAAGCGGUCGCUUCAGUCUGAGCAGUAUACAUUUGUAUGUUUUAAUCUUUAAAUUUGAGCUCCAGAACAAACGGUACAGGGUCUUAAUGCUACUAAGCAAAUAAAGUGGUAAGUAUUAAUAUUUUUAGUUUGAUUAUCCUAUAACCACUGUCCUCAUAAACGACCACAGCUAUAUAUAUCUGAAAUAAAGGAGGGUCCCACCAACUAAUUACUUAACACUGCUAACACCCAAGUAUAUUUCCCAGUGUAUUGUGACAAACAAUAAAACGAGUAUGAAAGGUUUAUAUCUUUAUAUAAGUUGUUUGCUUUCGUUAGAUCAGAAAUCAUAAACAGAACAAAGCAUGAAUAUAUAAAAAAAAUGAAAAUACUUUGAAUUAAACCAGUACAGUAAGUCAAAAAGAAUAUAGCAAUUCUGCAAAGUAAAUCUUUAAACAAAAGAAUAAUGAAAUGGCAAUAACAAAUAACAAUAAAGAAACUUAUAUAAUCAAUUCAGGGUUGUAGAUUCCUUGGACAAGUAUGGACUCAUUACUAUGAAAGUCAAUUGUCAAUGAUGUUAAUGAUGAUGUUCCAGUUCCACAAUGGCUAGUCACAUUGACCUUCAAAAACGCAAAUAGUCCACAAAGUUACGAUCCACCGAAUCAAAUCCUUAUACUCAGGACGUUCAUUAAUCCAUAAGGAUUAAUGGAUGAAAAACCUUGUCCUUCUGGUAAACCUUGAUAUCCAAAAGGUGGAGCUUUAGUAAAUUGUUCAGAUUCCUCACACCAUAAUAUAACGUCACCUAUAGAGUCCAUAAGAUUAACCUGGAAACUAAGUUUCUCAAUCUGGACUCCCAAUACGUGUUUGCUGGAGGUGCUUAGCACAACACCAUGCUUCCCUCUUCCAAACACCACUGACUUCCUCUACCCUCCCACCAGUUUAAAUCAAAGGAGCUUUAGCGCUCAAGCGCCCCCUACGAGUGUGUAGAGUCAUUACAUGGGUAACAGCUAACACUGUUACAAUCCAGUUCUUAUUAUCUCUUUUAAGAAACUGUAGGUUUAUCUUAAAUUGAAAAAAAUCUGUCGCUAUGUAUGUUUUUAAAUAUGUAAUACCGUAAAUGUGCAAAAGCAAACUGAUUAUUGAUCCAACUGUGCUCACUGGGAUAUCCAAACACUUGGAUAUUAUUUUGUACCCUUUCCCUAAUCUAUGCAUUUGUAUUACUUUAUCUCAAACUUCUGUAGAAUGCUCUUUCGUCUUCAUUUUCCUUCAGAGUCACAGCCUGACCAAUGAUCCUUCAACAGUGGGUUUUUUAUCUAGAAAAUGUGACAGCAACUUUAUUGGUUCACAGGUGGAGGCCAAUGGUAAGGUAAAUGUGUCCUUGUUAUGGCAAUUUCUUCCAUCAGUGUAAACUGGACGCUUCCACAGCACAGGGGUUGAAUACUUAUGCAAGCAAGAUAUUUCUUUUUUUUUUA